rnacentral:rRNA from 1 species
UACGGGGGGGGGCAAGCGUUGUUCGGAAUUACUGGGCGUAAAAGGCUCGUAGGCGGCCAACUAAGUCGGAUGUGAAAUCCCCAGGCUUAACCUGGGAACUGCAUCCGAUACUGGAUGGCUUGAAUCCGGGAGAGGGAUGCAGAAUUCCAGGUGUAGCGGUGAAAUGCGUAGAUAUCUGGAGGAAUACCGGUGGCGAAGGCGGCAUCCUGGACCGGCAUUGACGCUGAGGCGCGAAAGCGUGGGGAGCAAACACGG